GAUCUGGCAAACUUUUGGAAGGAUCUCUCACACAAUUUUCAUUCUCUGUUUAGUUUUAAUACUCCGAUGAAAUGGAAGUUAUAUAUUAUAUGCCCUCUGAGAUGUUACAUUAUCCAUGUUGAGAGAAUAUUUCACUCAUAUGGAGACGUCACCACUGCCGGUGAAGGGCUGCAAAAUUUAGGCCUAUGCUCGGCGCUUAUGGCUAUUGAGCAGGGAGGGAUCUUUAUCGUGUCACACCUGCUGUGACACGGGACCUCGGUUUUUGCGGUCUUAUCCGAAGGACCGCCCCAUUUAGUCGCCUCUUACGACAAGCAAGAGGGUACUGAGGAUCUAUUCUAACCCGGAUCCCCACGGACCCUAAAACAUUCUAAGGCCAUUGUUCUGUUGCGUCUGAGUUUAAGACAGGGUAUUUUGAAUUUUAACGAUGAUAGCUACGGGUGUUUGUAAUCAUCGUAUAUGAAAGGUAAAACCCCUUCCUGCCCCCCCCCCCCCCCAUUUUUCUAGUGUCUCUUUUACCACAAAAAUACCAGACUAGUAGACAGUAAUUGAAAUUUGACAUCAUAAAAGUGAUAAAUUGUUAGGUUUCCUAAUUUUUUCAAACGUACGCCUAUUCUUUUAAGAACGCUUAGCUGUUGAGAGGCUUUUUUACAAUUAAGAUAUGGUUACUAAACUCUGAAAAUAAUGACAACCAUUUUUUUAAAUCUCAAAAUCUCUCAAUGACAGGAAUAUACAUCACUGACUAAUAAAACAUUUAUUUUGUACAAAAACAAAAGAAACCUAAUAAAACUACGUUAGAUAACUGUUUUUAGUGUAAAGAAAUAUGAUAUAAGAAUUACAAUAAUUAUUUAAUCACCAAUAUUACAUAACAUUCAUCUGCCUGUCUUGAGGUUAAAAAGUGUUUGAAAUGAUAAAAUACUAGUAUUAAUACUGAAAUAUAUAUAGAGCAAUUUUCCAUUGAUUUCAAUUUUUUGUGACAAAACGACAGCUUUAAUUUUAAUUUUGAAACCUGUAGUCUACUUAACAUCAAGAAGCUUAACUUAAUUUUCUAAAUAAAUAGUAUUGUUGUGUAUUUCAAAACAAAUGUUAUCCUCUUUUGUUUUUCCCUAGACAUCUUAAUUGCAAUUUACCAAGAUUUGCUUGCAUCUGGUUGUCUGUUAACCACUUUACAAGAAUGGAACAAUUUAAUUCUAGAGUCUUUUUCAUUGCGUUAAUGGCGUUGCUUGAGUUUGAAAGAGUGUUAUCAUCGGAGUAGGCGUAAAGGUAACACCCGGAGACACACUUUAUAAUGUCAUUGAUAUAAAUAUGAAAAUAACAGGACCAAGAAUAGAAUCUUGUGGAACAUCUUUUUACAAGUCUAAAAAAAAUCACUACAAACAUUUCCCAGUUUCAAACAUUGUUUCCGGUUGCUUAGACUGCUUUCCAUAUGACUACUUAGUAGCUUUUCUCGUAAAACCAUAUGCAUUUAAUUUUGCUAAAAUAUUAUCAUGCGAAAUAUAUAAUUAUGGUAUGUCAAACGUUACAUUAUUUGAUUUUUCCAUUUGUAAAGCGUAAUUGUCCAUUUGUAUGGUAUAAUUGUCCAUUUGUAUGGUAUAAUUGUUCAUUUUUAUGGUAUAAUUGUCCAUUUGUAUGGUAUAAUUGUUCAUUUUUAUGGUAUAAUUGUCCAUUUGUAUAGUAUAAUUGUUCAGUUGCAUUGUAAAAAAAAAAUCAUUCACAUAUAUAUUGUAUUUUUUUUUUCAUUUCCGUUGUAUAAUUUUCAUUUGUAUUGUAUAAUACUUCAUCUGUAUUGCAUAUUUCCAUUUCUAUUGUAUAUUUUCCAUUUGUAUUGUAUAAUUGUUCAUACAUGUUGUAUAAUUAUUUAGUUUAUUCAAUAUUUUAAAAAGAAAAUAUUUGUAUAAGUAUAAUUGUUUAUUGAUAUUGUAUCUGAGAGAUUGCUGUGGUUGUUUUUUUUUUUUUUUUACCAGACUUUCUUGUCGGAGAUACGGAGACAGUCAAUUUUUAAAUCGAAGCAGGCUACUGACACACAAGUUGAUGGUGCAGGGGUUCCAACAGUCUCGUUUAAAAUCAGCAUUUCGUAAAUUCUAUGGUCGUUAUAACAAUCUAGUUUGCCAAUACAACCUAUCAUUGGGUCAAAUGCUGUCUGACGUGUUUCAUGCCGAUUGUUAGGCCGUUCUUGGCACACUGCUUACUCCUCCUAGGCACCUGAUCCCACCUCUGGUAUAUCCAGUGGUCCGUGUUUGCCCAACUCUGUUUUGUAUUGCUUAUAGGAGUUAUGAAAUUGAUCACUGUUCGUUAUCUUCGUCUUUCGUGAAAAAAUUGCGUGAAAGAAUCCGGAACAGUUUGAAAACUCAAUGUCGACACCCAAGACCGAAACGAAAUCGAGCGUUCAGAUUUUGGGGCGAGGCUUCUCAUAGAUUUUGAAUAAAACAUGUUUUACGUUUGUUCUUAUUGACCAAUCACAUUGAGAGAAUGGCAUAGCAUGGUCAUCUUAACUCAAUUUUAUUGAAUCCAUGCGAUCAAUUAGUGAGUGAAAUUUGUGUAUUCAAUCAAGCGAAGUGCCACGCUGUUAUUAGAAUGAUAGUGAUAUUUGGCAUGAAAUAAAUUAAAACGAGUUAACGAACAAAUACUUGAUUGAUUGUAUCUUGCUUAACGUCUGACUCGAGAAUUUUUCACUCAUAUGGAGACGUCACCAAGACCGGUGAAGGGCUUCAAAUUUAGGCCUAUGCUCAGCGGUUACGGCCAUUGACCGGAGGGGGGGGUCUUUAUCGUGCCACACCUGCUGUGACACGGAACCUCGGUUUUUGUGGUCUCAUCCGAAGGACCGCCCCAUUUAGUCGCCUCUUACGACAAGCAAGGGGAUACUGAGGAUCUAUUCUAACCCGGAUCCUCACGAACAAAUACACGUUGAACAACAAAGACGUAGACACAGGAAAAUAUAAAUGACAAAGAAAUUAUGUCGCCGGGGGGGGGGGGGGGUAUGAGAGAGAAAAACCAUAAAACAAAUAGGAUAAAAGGUAUACAGGCGGAUCAAGAUGAUGCAGUAGAUAAAUAAUGAUACAACAACACCCGCUACCUAGAAGUAUCGGAUCCACAUAGUGGAUACAAGGUCAAAUCUAAAACAGAUUACAUAAAACAUCAGUAUGACCAACGACAAGAGCAACUGGAUAAUAGGGACGACCCGUACCUUCCUCAGAACAAGCUACAUGUAUAAAGUACAAAUGAAAUUUAAAAACCGGACGAACACAGACUCCAGGACUUACCAGGGGUGGGAUAAGGUGCCCAUGAGAAGUAAGCAUACCCUGUUGACUGGUCACACCCACGUGUGAGCCCUAUUUCUUGUUCAGGUAAACGGAGUAAUCCGUAGUCAAAUCGUUGUGUAAAGAACGGUAUAUAACAAUUGGUACGAAACACGUCAGAGAGCAUUUGACCCUAUGACAGGUUGUAGUGAUAAAUUAGAUCGUUAUAACGGCCAUAGAAUUUGCGAAGUGCGGACUUUAAACUAGACGUUGAAACCCCUGUAACAUCAACUUAUUUGUCAGUAGCCUGCCUCGAUUGAAAAAUUAUGCGCAGAACAAGCUCUUGCGUAUCAAAUCAGUUAAGAGUGCAAGGGAUAAUGGACUGAAUAAAUAUGGGAAAUUGACGAUGGAGAUGCUGGAGUCAUCCCGUUUGUCAUAAAGUUGAGGGACGUCAUCAGCUGGAUGUGAAGUUUCACAAAUGGCGUUCAAGACCACAAUAAGGAGAUUUCAACAUCUGUGUUUAAGGUCUUGUUCGAAAGACCAGUAACUUUCACUUCCAACUGUCUAAUU